GAUGAACGCUGGCGGCGUGCCUAAUACAUGCAAGUCGAGCGAACAGACCAUGCGCUUGCUCCUCUGAUGUUAGCGGCGUACGGGUGAUUAACACGUGGAUAAUCUACCUAUAAGACUGGGAUAACUUCGGGAAUCCGGAGCUAAUACCGGAUAACCUCUUGCCCCGCAUGGUUCCUUAGUUACAUACGGUCUUGCUGUCACUUCUAGAUGGAUCCCCGCCGCAUUAGCUAGUUGUGAAGGUAACGACUUACCAAGGCAACGAUGCGUUGCCGGCCAGUGAGAGUGAUCGGCCACACUAGAACUGAGACACGGUCCAGACUCCUACGGGAGGCAGCAGUAGGGAAUCUUCCGCAGUGGGCGAAAGCCUGACGGAGCAACGCCGCGUGAGUGAAGAAGGUCUCCGGAUCGGAAAACUCUGUUAGUAGGGAAGAACAAAUGUGGAAGGAACUAUGCACGGCGUGACGGUACCUAAUCAGAAAGCCACGGCUAACUACGUG
rnacentral:rRNA from 1 species